rnacentral:rRNA from 1 species
GAUGAACGCUGGCGGCGUGCCUAAUACAUGCAAGUCGAGCGGUAAGGCCACUUCGGUGGUACACGAGCGGCGGACGGCUGAGUAACACGUAGGAACGUACCCCAAAGUGAGGCAUAAGCACCAGAAAUGGUGUCUAAUACCGCAUGUGAUCUUCGGGAUUAAAGCUUCGGCGCUUUGGGAACGGCCUGCGCAUGAUUAGCUUGUUGGUGAGGUAAAGCUCACCAAGGCGACGAUCAUUAGCUGGUCUGAGAGGAUGACCAGCCAGACUGGGACUGAGACACGGCCCAGACUCCUACGGGAGGCAGCAGUAGGGAAUCUUGCAACAAUGGGGGAAACCCUGAUGCAGCGACGCCGCGUGAGCGAUGAAGCCCUU